rnacentral:lncRNA from 1 species
GAAACAACUGAAUUGGUUAUGAGGAAUGCACCCAAGGAGAAUUUUCAGGGAAGGGGCCAAUGUUCUCGCUAAUAACUAUUUUACCCCUUCUGGGAAAACCCAUGAAGUGAAAAUGAACACAAGCCCCAGGAAGUAAGGAAUUUCCACGUCUGUCCUCCUCCUCCAUAAGACUAUGAUGACUCACGACAGACAUGAUCAGAAUGAGGAGAAUGUAGGUGAAAGCUGAGGAUGGAUGUCAACAGCCCUUUU